UACAGAGGGUGCAAGCGUUAAUCGGAAUUACUGGGCGUAAAGCGUGCGUAGACGGUUAUGUAAGUCGGGUGUGAAAGCCCCGGGCUCAACCUGGGAAUGCCAUUCGAGACUGCAUAGCUAGGGUGCGGAAGAGGGAAGCGGAAUUUCCGGUGUAGCGGUGAAAUGCGUAGAUAUCGGAAGGAACACCAGUGGCGAAAGCGACGUGCUGGACCUCUUCUGACGCUGAGGCGCGAAAGCUAGGGGAGCGAACGGG
rnacentral:rRNA from 1 species